rnacentral:rRNA from 1 species
GACGAACGCUGGCGGCGUGCUUAACACAUGCAAGUCGAACGGAAAGGCCCUGCUUUUGUGGGGUGCUCGAGUGGCGAACGGGUGAGUAACACGUGAGUAACCUGCCCUUGACUUUGGGAUAACUUCAGGAAACUGGGGCUAAUACCGGAUAGGAGCUCCUGCUGCAUGGUGGGGGUUGGAAAGUUUCGGCGGUUGGGGAUGGACUCGCGGCUUAUCAGCUUGUUGGUGGGGUAGUGGCUUACCAAGGGUUUGACGGGUAGCCGGCCUGAGAGGGUGACCGGCCACAUUGGGACUGAGAUACGGCCCAGACUCCUACGGGAGGCAGCAGUGGGGAAUAUUGCACAGUGGGCGGAAGCCUGAUGCAGCAGCGCCGCGUGCGGGAUGACGGCCUUCGAGGUGUAAACCGCUUUCUCCUGUGACGAAGCGUGAGUGACGGUAAUGGGUAAAAAAGCACCGGCUAACUACGUG